UACGGGGGGGGCAAGCGUUGUUCGGAAUUACUGGGCGUAAAGGGCGCGUAGGCGGCCACCGCAAGUCGACUGUGAAAUCUCCGGGCUUAACCCGGAAAGGUCAGCCGAUACUGCGGGGCUAGAGUGCAGAAGGGGCAACUGGAAUUCUCGGUGUAGCGGUGAAAUGCGUAGAUAUCAAGAGGAACACCUGCGGCGAAGGCGGGUUGCUGGCGUGACACUGACGCUGAAGCGCGAAAGCCAGGGGAGCGAACGGG
rnacentral:rRNA from 1 species